rnacentral:lncRNA from 1 species
GGAAGGGAGGGAGGGAGAGAGGGAGAGAGGGAGAGAGAGAGAAGUGGUGUUACAGAGAUUGAGGGGUGAUUGUUAUGUUGUGAUAGAUGAAGUUGGAUCCAGUACUGUGGUUAGGGUAAAGGGUAGGUCAACAGAAUAGUAAAUAUAAGUUGUGUGUCCCUCCUCUCCUAUACUGGUGUCUGUAACAGUAAAACACAGGGAAUUCCCUUUUCUGCUCCCUCUGAUAAAUACACCUCCGGGGGAUGAUUUCUGAGUGUUUUUUGUGGGCCUUACACAGAAACACAGAGCAUCAAUGGGCGUCAACUGAGUGUUCUCAGAAUAGCACAGGAAGUGACUUGAUUUGACUAUGACAUCACUUCCAUGUGGGGUGGUCCAGAACAGUUUGUUCAGUUGGAACAAACGGUUUUGCUAAUGUCAUCGGGUGUGUUUAUGUGUGGUAGUCCAUGUUUACCUGUUAAAUUCACCUGUGACGACUUCUCAGUUGAAGCAGAACACACACAGUUCUGAAUCGUUGAAGCUCGCUCCCACCAAUGCUGGAGAACGGUCACUGUUUGGCUGGCCCCAAGGGUGUCUACACAUCAGGCCCUGAGUGUUGCGAGAAACCAGGCCAGCCUGUUCCAUAGACACACCCGACCCACACACACACACGCUCACACACACACGCUCACACACACACACGCACCCCUCUGUAGCUAUCACUCUGUCAGAGCUCCCAUUAGCGUCAUUGUUCCCUUGGUGACAACAGGGUCAGGGGUCACUUAGCAACGGCAGAAUGUUGAGGACAAUUCCUGUGAGGGAGACUGGAGCUCAGUGCUUCUGGCCUUUUGUUCCAGAACAUAGCCUCAAGUCUGAAAAUAGAUAUGGGCUUUAAUAUUUCCACACUGUAUUCCUCCGCAAAGUGAUGACACACUUAGUCAGAUGACGUCAUCCCAGCUGAUGACACGUUAAUGUAUAGAGAAUCUAUUUCCUUCUAUGAUAUGAGGAAGCCGGCGUGAUGUUCUACAUGACACUGAGCAUGAUGGAUCGUCUCCUCUCCUUCUGGCUCGCUGCCAAGAAGGGGUUUACAUGUCUUAGAGUAAGCUUCCUCUUUCCUUAUUCCCUCUCUGAUCAGACAGCACACCGUAAACACAAGGGGUGGUGAUCGAUACAAGCAGUGUGAGAGUUCUUCCCAGUAACAAAUGUUUUUGACAAGGUAAACAGCGGUGAUAAAUGACUAUAGUACUGGAAAAGCACGAGUGUACGUAUAUGACACCACCAGGCUGUGCUGCCAUGUACCUGUGCUUCAUGUAGUACCUGCGUCACACUACCUGUGUACUCUAAUGACCGUUAGAGGAGUGGCCCUAUAUAGUCCUUACAGUGCACUAUAAACUGAAUAAUCAGAUAAAGAUGAUAUUAUGACAAAGCUUAUCAUAUACUGGGAACCACGUACAUAUACGCUGGCAAAAGAACAUUCUGGGACUUGGAUAUGCUUACACCUAUGGCUAGUUUUUCUCUCUCUCUCUCUCUCUCUCUCUCUCUCUCUCUCUCUCUCUCUCUCUCUCUCUCUCUCUCUCUCUCUCUCUCUCUCUCUGGAGUGGCACUGCGACACAGAGUGAUUGAACCUUUAGAUAUUGUGGCGGGCGGAGAUCAAAAACUUCCUGUAGUUAUUGAUUUGUAGGGAAGGAGAGGUGCCUGAGGAAUGAUUUGUAGGGAAGGAGAGGUGCCUGAGGAAUGAUUUGUAGGGAAGGAGAGGAGCCUGAGGAAUGAUUUGUAGGGAAGGAGAGGAGCCUGAGGAAUGAUUUGUAGGGAAGGAGAGGAGCCUGAGGAAUGAUUUGUAGGGAAGGAGAGGAGCCUGAGGAAUGAUUUGUAGGGAAGGAGAGGAGCCUGAGGAAUGAUUUGUAGGGAAGGAGAGGAGCCUGAGGAAUGAUUUGUAGGGAAGGAGAGGAGCCUGAGGAAUGAUUUGUAGGGAAGGAGAGGAGCCUGAGGAAUGAUUUGUAGGUAAGGAGAGGAGCCUGAGGAAUGCUCUUCAGAUGUACAGUCAUUGAUUCUAGAGGUGGAAGAGAGAAGUGCACAGACACCGAGGGCUUUGGACUGGCCGUGAGUCAGCAACCAAACACUGGGCGCCUUUGAGGAGAACCGCUAUGGUGCUGGGGGGAGGUCAGAAAUAGUUGGCUCAUUUACCAUCUGCAUAUCCAACGAUAGAGAAAUUAUAUAUUCUUCUCUGGAGACCGUGACAUAAACUUCUAGCCUAAUCAUCAUUCAUUCGCCUACACAGUACUAUCAGAUGUCUGAACUUGAAGAUUUCUCUCUUGAUAAACAAUGUUGUACAGUCAUAGCGUGGCUGCUGGAAAAUUAGUUUACGGUAAAAAGGAGCUCUCUUUUUGGGAAGUUGCCUUGGCGAUGGGCCAACAGGGAGUCCGUCUGCGGUCAAUUUUUGGGACUUUGUGUGUGUGUGUGUGUGUGUGUGAGUUUUUAUUAUUUGCCACCAUGUUGAAAGACAUUCUGCUUCCUGACAUUUGAGUGUUGUUGUGACUCAGUGUUUGUGGCCUGUGUCAAAAUGAAAAGCAAAUGUGUCCCAUCUCAAAUGGAUUUUAGGGCUUUAGUAAGAAAAUAACAGUCCUCAGUUUGCUGCGGUAGAUGUUUGUCAGAGACUAAGAAUGUACUGUACAGAUAUACUAUCUUAAUUUGACCAGUUUGGCACAGCAGGAAAAUAAUCCUGCAGGAACAGGAAAUGUGAAUUAUUAUGUGGAUUGUAAUUAAUGGAUGUUUUUGUAGGGCUUGAUUCAUAAAAAAUAAAAAAAUGUUUUUAUCAAGUCUGACAAUUUAAAGUGGAAAUGACAUACUUAAGAAGUCUUUUUAAACCUCAAAUACACUACAAUUUGCAUUUCCUGUUGCACCUCAAAAUUCUCUGCGACAACACUAUGAUGAAAUUAUGAUAGCACAUCUGUGUAUAAUUGGUUUACUGUUAACGUGAACCACUUUCUAAAGAUAUGUGAGUUUUGUCUCAGCUUAAUUCCAAGGAGGGUGAUGGUUCCCCCCUUUCCCCUCUCUUGCAAUACACACACACAAACACACACCCUGUCAGUUGGGAGGUGUGGAGAUAAACAGGAGGCUGAUCACAGCAGCCCUGAAUGCCACAUCAUUUAGUGACUCACCCUGCCGUCAUCCAGCCCUCCGGGGGUCACACACGUCACCCAGAGCCCCACAACACAGCCCCUCUUCCUGGCAUGGGCUAACUCUGCCUGCCCCCCCCCCCGGCCUACUCAUCCCUUACUGGCUUCCUGGCAGCCUGCUCCUGAGCCGGAGUUGAAGAGAGUCUCUGUUUUUCCCUCUCGCACAUUUCCAGAGCCUUUCAGUCUCAUACGCAGAAAAACAAGGGCUAUUUUUUUAACCGUGCUCCAAUUAGGCUGUUAAGAUUGUUUAUCUGUUUCCGCGAAAGACGUGUCCUCCCGGCUUGCAGUGGCACAGAAAAUGGACGAAAGUUCGUCCCGUUCCCGGAACUGGAUCCAAACAAAGGCAGAUGUUUAAGAUUCUUUAGAAAGCGAGGAGACGCACUUGUUAUUGUCCUCUUUUUCUCUGACCGUGGAAAAAUACUUUGGAGGGUUAUGGAGAAACGUCAGCCUGCCUUGUGUGUGUUCUGAAAAUCCAGGAACUCUUAAAUCUUAUCUUAUGAUGUGGGCUUAUUUUUGUGUGUGUGUGUGGCAUUCAAGUGUGUGGCACUGUACUGUAUUCCUCGCUUACUGCAUAGAUGCAUGUUCGAUAGUAUUUGAUUAAAAGCCCCUACUUACUCCACAACCAUGAUGGAUGUUCUGUUCUCCCUCCAUCAGACUGAUCUGCCAUUAGCAUAGCUCCACACAGCGGGCCAUCAGUACAGCCUAUUGCUCUGCAUGGCCCAUGCAUGAACCCCUAGUGCAGCUAGCACUCGCGCGCUGAUGCACAUUAACACACACAUGAGCCCAGCGAUACACACUAGGCUUAACCGCAUUAUCUGGAAAGAGGUACUGACAGAGACACUUAUCCAGUAAUGGAGGGUCUUUAUUGGUUAACUCCUGGAAUGGCCCUCAGAGAAUGGCCCCAUCAUCCAGUUUAAUGCCUUAUCACCACAUCUGUACUGAACGUGUGGCAUCAUCUGUCACGGUUCACAUACUGUACAGCACAGGGUCUUUGACGGGGCUGCAGUCUCCUUCAUUAUCAUUACUCAGUUGGCACUCUUGUUUUGUAGCAUCCUACGCAGAUUAACACCCACGCGCACACACAGAAACACACACACCCAAUAUUCACAUCAUGGACACCGGUGCAUGUUGGCUGUGUACCCUAUCACGAAAGAUCUGUUUCAAUGUGCAACCUCCUCCUUUAGCUUCUUCCAUUGACUUUCCAUAGACUUUCUUGAUCAGGAAUCCAAUAAUGAGACUUAAGCCCGAGUUUCCAGGGGUUCUGAAAAGACUAGGAGGGAAGGUAUUAAUCAGUAGUAUGUCAACACUGAUUCACUGUCUCUGAUGAAAUGCCAGUCACUCCUUUGAGCCUCUUCAGCACCACAUUCCGCUACACAGUUCCUGGAACAAUUAUGUCAAUAUAAUGGCUCAGAUGCUAUCUUUACGGGAAUGAAGGAUAAGCUCAGGUCAGUGAUGAUGUAGUCCCAGGGGGAUAGAGGGGUUUGACGUGCUGCCUGUUGAAGACAGCCCAGUAGGGAGAACUUAGAGAGGAGUCAGUCAUCAGGCCUCAUAAAGCUCUGGAUGACUCACUGUUAACACCUCAGCAGUGUGCGCUCUCUAUUCCGCUAUAGUGAGUCCCAUCAGAACAGUGUUUCUCACAUUUAUCAGAUGACUGAUUCGCAUUAUAUUAGAUGUGUUGUCAUGGUGGGAAAGAUGCUCUGACUGAUGACUCAUAAUCCCUUUAACCUCCCACACGUAUCGACACACACACACACACACACACACACACACACACACACACACACACACACACACACACACACACACACACACACACAAUACACACACACACAAAACCCGUAGGUAAGUAAUGCCAUAUCCGGCAGGAGGGGUAACCUUGUCGUCUGAUUUUCAUAAUGGCAGUGAGUAAUUCUUCCUGUGUAAUGAGAACAUCCUUUCCAGAGUCAACCCUCUAUCAUCCCCCAUCUCCUUUCAUCAUUCAUCCUCCUCUUAUGCACCUUGACCACAAUCAACCCUCUCGCAGUCACCCCACAUCCACAGAGCUCCGUCUGUCUGUCUCCUCCUCUUGUGUGAGGCGUUUAUGUGUGUUUGAAACUCAGAGUGGACGACUUGCAGCACAUACCGUUUCCACCCUUUUCUGAAACUAACAAAUUAAUAACCUUGUGUCACUUUUUUGGAUGAGUAUAAGAUGAAGUCUAAUCUCACUAAAUAGGUGUGCCGCAAGGCAGAUGUGCCCAUACAAGUUUGGACAAAAGAAAGAUGCUACUCUACCCAGCAUCGGAAUAGGCCGGCCUCUCCCUGAAAAAGGAAUCUCAUAUAAUUUUCAGGAAAAUUACCCCCCCACCCCACUCCACCACCAUCCAGGCUGUUAUAUAAACACACCACCGUCACUCUCUCUCUUUCUUGCUCUCUCUCUCUCUUUCUUGCUCUUGAUCUUUUUGAAACCCCGAGUGAAGGAAUGGAGGAGCAACAGCAGGAAGGGCGACAUUACUGUCACCCGCAGCAGCUAGGGCCUGCCGGGCUGGUGUGUGGGAGUCUAUCUCUGCAUGUUACUUCCUGGGAGAGAAUGAAACAGAAAGCGCAACGGCCAACCCUCCACAAGGGCUCCUUUCACAUAUGGGGGGGGGGGGGGGGAGAAAGGGAGCGGUAACGUUGAAAUGUGUCUCUUACUUAUUCAUUCAUCCCACAGGGUGUUGUUGUUAGGUUUGAGGUUGGCUUCUCUCUUUCCUCUCCCCUACCAUGCUACGGACUGGUGCUGGUGGGUGACUACUUAUGGUGUGGUUUAUGAGAUGUUAUGCUGCCCCUGGUGUCCAAAGGCAGGAUUGUAGAAAAGUGUCACGUUGUGAUGAUACUGUUCCAUCCAACUGUGUUUUCCUUCUUUACAACAUGCGCUGACAUACACCAUGUUAUAUGGCCAUUAUAG